CUGCUCCUUUCCAGCAGCACCGGUACUAAAAUUGGACCCAUGCAGAGAUUAGCGUGGCCCCUGCGCAAGGAUGACCCAAAUGCCAGGAGGUGUUCCAUAUUUUU